ACGUAUGCACUAGAUAUUGGGCAAUUUAAAAACUGAAGGCCGAUCGUUGAUUGAUUACCCUAGCACAAAACACAACAUGCACACCCACCGAUUAUGUUUAUGCUCAUCAUCACAUCAACAUACCGGACCGACAUCAACCAUGCCAGCACCAAACUAAUUUCCCGAUGGGGAAAUCAAGUCGAGCAGCCACCCUGGCGACGCCCCGGUACUCACUCUCCAAUCUCUUAUCGGCCGACGCCAACUAGAGCCGUGAGUGAUAAAGCGAGGCGCGAUCGGUCAGGCAAUAUAGCCGAUCGUCGCCCGCGGAUCGUCAUCAGUCACUGGUUUAUCGUAAAGGAGACCGCGUCGAUCGUCAACCCGAUAUAUUUUCCGCCAGACGAUCGACCUGAAGAAGAAGUUUAGUUCGAGGAAUUUCUGUGGUGAAAACCGUCUCACCAGUGAGGAAGAACAAGGCGUGGAAUAAUAACCGCACUGGAGUGCGAGGUGCCGCGACACCGUAAAUUGGUCGUGGUGGAGAGUGAGGUGGCGUCUACGUUCAGCAUGGAUAGCAUGGCCAUGCUGGAGUAGUUAGGAGUACUUGAGAUCGGCCUUCAUUUCCUGUUUCACAAGCUGAAUUCCAUCAUGGCUGGAGCCGUGGUGUGGAGCAGUGCGCUGCUGUGCAUUCCUGCCGACUGGACGGCGGGGCUAAUGCACCGGAUGGCCGGCGUUCUUGCCGGUGACCAAGCUGGGUUCUGCCCGGGCAGCAACGUUGUUCCGGAUCGUCGAGGGAUACACGGGGGUCACACACACACAGGUUUACACCCGCAACUCUAGUUUUAAGGACGCCAACUAGGUUUAGUUCGCCAAUAUAGAUGUAAGUACGCUAAAAUCCCCUCUUUUAUUUCUGUGUAGGUUGAAUUUAUCCUUGUCUUGGGAGGGCUGGUUGAUUAUCUGGGAUUCUGUUGGAAUUCGACCCAUUUUUAUUGUUUGCUGUGUUCUUUUGCAUCUGUGCAGGAAAUGGUACUCCUGCUAUUCAAUAGUACUCCAUCUUGUCUCAUGCUCGCACUUUCCCUGGAAAUGGGAGGUGACAACCU